rnacentral:rRNA from 1 species
UUAAUUGAAGAGUUUGAUCAUGGCUCAGAUUGAACGCUGGCGGCAGGCCUAACACAUGCAAGUCGAGCGGCAGCACAGAGGAACUUGUUCCUUGGGUGGCGAGCGGCGGACGGGUGAGUAAUGCCUGGGAAAUUGCCCGGUAGAGGGGGAUAACCAUUGGAAACGAUGGCUAAUACCGCAUAACCUCGCAAGAGCAAAGCAGGGGACCUUCGGGCCUUGCGCUACCGGAUAUGCCCAGGUGGGAUUAGCUAGUUGGUGA